GCAGGAUCAACCAGGUAGUCAUAUGCUUGUCUCAAAGAUUAAGCCAUGCAUGUCUAAGUAUAAGCGACUAUACUGUGAAACUGCGAAUGGCUCAUUAAAUCAGUUAUGGUUUAUUUGAUGGUACCUUACUACUUGGAUAACCGUAGUAAUUCUAGAGCUAAUACAUGCAGGAAUUCCCGACUUCGGAAGGGAUGUAUUUAUUAGAUAAGAAACCAACGCGGGCUUGCCCGGUUGCGUGCUGAGUCACAAUAACUGCUCGAAUCGCAGUGGCCUUGCGCCGGCGAUGGUUCAUUCAAAUUUCUGCCCUAUCAGCUUUCGAUGGUAGGAUCGAGGCCUACCAUGGCGUUUACGGGUAACGGAGAAUUAGGGUUCGAUUCCGGAGAGGGAGCCUGAGAAAUGGCUACCACAUCCAAGGAAGGCAGCAGGCGCGUAAAUUACCCAAUCCUGACACAGGGAGGUAGUGACAAUAAAUAACAAUGCCGGGCCUUUCUAGGUCUGGCAAUUGGAAUGAGAACAAUUUAAAUCCCUUAUCGAGGAUCAAUUGGAGGGCAAGUCUGGUGCCAGCAGCCGCGGUAAUUCCAGCUCCAAUAGCGUAUAUUAAAGUUGUUGCAGUUAAAACGCUCGUAGUCGGAUUUCGGGGCGGUCUUGCCGGUCUGCCGUUGGGUAUGCACUGGUGCGAGCGUCCUUCCUUCCGGAGACGGUGCCUGCUCUUAACUGAGUGGGUGUCGGAGACGGAUCGUUUACUUUGAAAAAAUCAGAGUGUUUCAAGCAGGCAGCUCGCUCUUGCAUGGAUUAGCAUGGGAUAAUGAAAUAGGACUUUGGUGCUAUUUUGUUGGUUUCGAACACCGAAGUAAUGAUUAACAGGGACAGUCAGGGGCACUCGUAUUCCGCCGAGAGAGGUGAAAUUCUCAGACCAGCGGAAGACGAACCACUGCGAAAGCAUUUGCCAGGGAUGUUUUCACUGAUCAAGAACGAAAGUUAGGGGAUCGAAGACGAUCAGAUACCGUCGUAGUCUUAACCAUAAACCAUGCCGACUAGGGAUUGGAGGAUGUUCUUUUGACGACUCCUUCAGCACCUUAUGAGAAAUCAAAGUCUUUGGGUUCCGGGGGGAGUAUGGUCGCAA
rnacentral:rRNA from 1 species